ACGGGAACUGGGGAUAAUUCCGGAUAACGCAUAUGUGCUGGAAUGCUUUAUGCGUAAAAUGGAUUCGUCCGCCCAAGGAUGGGUCUGCGGCCUAUCAGGUAGUAGUGGGUGUAAUGUACCUACUAGCCGACAACGGGUACGGGUUGUGAGAGCAAGAGCCCGGAGAUGGAUUCUGAGACAUGAAUCCAGGCCCUACGGGGCGCAGCAGGCGCGAAAACUUUACAAUGCGGGAAACCGUGAUAAGGGGACACCGAGUGUCAGCAUCAUAUGCUGGCUGUCCAGGUGUGUAAAAUACACCUGUUAGCAAGGGCCGGGCAAGACCGGUGCCAGCCGCCGCGGUAACACCGGCGGCCCGAGUGGUGAUCGUGAUUAUUGGGUCUAAAGGGUCCGUAGCCGGUUUGGUCAGUCCUCCGGGAAAUCUGAUAGCUCAACUAUUAGGCUAUCGGGGGAUACUACCAGACUUGGAACCGGGAGAGGUAAGAGGUACUACAGGGGUAGGAGUGAAAUCUUGUAAUCCCUGUGGGACCACCUGUGGCGAAGGCGUCUUACCAGAACGGGUUCGACGGUGAGGGACGAAAGCUGGGGGCACGAACCGGAUUAGAUACCCGGGUAGUCCCAGCCGUAAACGAUGCUCGCUAGGUGUCAGGCAUGGCGCGACCGUGUCUGGUGCCGCAGGAAGCCGUGAAGCGAGCCACCUGGAAGUACGGCCAAAAGGCUGAAACUUAA
rnacentral:rRNA from 1 species